UAGGGAAUCUUCCGCAAUGGGCGAAAGCUUGACGGAGCAACGCCGCGUGAGUGAUGAAGGUCUUCGGAUCGUAAAACUCUGUUAUUAGGGAAGAACAAAUGUGUAGGUAACUAUGCACGUCUUUACGGUACCUAAUCAGAAAGCCACGGCUAACUACGUGCCAGCAGCCGCGGUAAUACGUAGGUGGCAAGCGUUAUCCGGAAUUAUUGGGCGUAAAGCGCGCGUAGGCGGUUUUUUAAGUCUGAUGUGAAAGCCCACGGCUCAACCGUGGAGGGUCAUUGGAAACUGGAAAACUUGAGUGCAGAAGAGGAAAGUGGAAUUCCAUGUGUAGCGGUGAAAUGCGCAGAGAUAUGGAGGAACACCAGUGGCGAAGGCGACUUUCUGGUCUGUAACUGACGCUGAUGUGCGAAAGCGUGGGGAUCAAACAGG
rnacentral:rRNA from 1 species